UCCUUUUUGGUUCAUAAGUGUGAUGAUUGUGUGUUCACACUGUUGUGUGAGAUGUGCCUCCCUCUAAACCUUGUUAUGAUGUCAACACAUUAACCAUCUU
rnacentral:snoRNA from 1 species